rnacentral:rRNA from 1 species
GAUGAACGCUAGCGGGAGGCCUAACACAUGCAAGCCGAGCGGUAUUGUUUCUUCGGAAAUGAGAGAGCGGCGUACGGGUGCGUAACACGUGUGCAACCUGCCUUUAUCUGGGGGAUAGCCUUUCGAAAGGAAGAUUAAUACUCCAUAAUAUAUUGAACGGCAUCGUUUAAUAUUGAAAGCUCCGGCGGAUAGAGAUGGGCACGCGCAAGAUUAGCUAGUUGGUGAGGUAACGGCUCACCAAGGCGAUGAUCUUUAGGGGGCCUGAGAGGGUGAUCCCCCACACUGGUACUGAGACACGGACCAGACUCCUACGGGAGGCAGCAGUGAGGAAUAUUGGUCAAUGGGUGCAAGCCUGAACCAGCCACCCCGCGUGAAGGACGACUGCCCUAUGGGUUGUAAACUUCUUUUGUAUAGGGAUAAACCUACCCUCGAGAGGGUAGCUGAAGGUACUAUACGAAUAAGCACCGGCUAACUCCGUG